AGGAGCGUAGCUCAACUGGUAGAGUUCCGGUCUCCAAAACCGGCGGUUGGGGGUUCGAUUCCCUCCGCUCCUGCCA
rnacentral:tRNA from 1 species